GGGCCCUUAGCUCAGCGGUCAGAGCGGUCGGCUCAUAACCGAUUGGUCCCAGGUUCAAAUCCUGGAGGGCCCACCA
rnacentral:tRNA from 1 species